UACGUAGGUCCCGAGCGUUGUCCGGAUUUAUUGGGCGUAAAGCGAGCGCAGGUGGUUUAUUAAGUCUGGUGUAAAAGGCAGUGGCUCAACCAUUGUAUGCAUUGGAAACUGGUAGACUUGAGUGCAGGAGAGGAGAGUGGAAUUCCAUGUGUAGCGAUGAAAUGCGUAGAUAUAUGGAGGAACUCCGGUGGCGAAAGCGGCUCUCUGGCCUGUAACUGACACUGAGGCUCGAAAGCGUGGGGAGCAAACAGG
rnacentral:rRNA from 1 species